rnacentral:rRNA from 1 species
AGUGAACGCUGGCGGUAGGCCUAACACAUGCCAGUCGAACGGCAGCACAGUAAGAGCUUGCUCUUACGGGUGGCGAGUGGCGGACGGGUGAGGAAUACAUCGGAAUCUACUUUUUCGUGGGGGAUAACGUAGGGAAACUUACGCUAAUACCGCAUACGACCUACGGGUGAAAGCAGGGGAUCUUCGGACCUUGCGCGAUUGAAUGAGCCGAUGUCGGAUUAGCUAGUUGGCGGGGUAAAGACCCACCAAGGCGACGAUCCGUAGCUGGUCUGAGAGGAUGAUCAGCCACACUGGAACUGAGACACGGUCCAGACUCCUACGGGAGGCAGCAGUGGGGAAUAUUGGACAAUGGGCGCAAGCCUGAUCCAGCCAUACCGCGUGGGUGAAGAAGGCCUUCGGGUUGUAAAGCCCUUUUGUUGGGAAAGAAAAGCAGCAGGUUAAUACCCCGCUGUUCUGACGGUACCCAAAGAAUAAGCACCGGCUAACUUCGUG